AUGGAAGGCUGCUGCUGGGGGUGGGGUCUGAGUUGGGAGUCUCUCCCGGGCUUCUCCCUCGCCUGGCUACUGAAACCUCCCCACAAACAAGGCAGGGAAACUGAGGACAAAUCCCCACCCAUACUUCAAGAUCCAACAGCCCCACGCUGCAUACAGCUCAGCAACACCCCCGAUCCUUCUGGCCCGCUCAGCUCGAACCUGCAGAGGCUCCUCAGUCCCCUCCCUGUCUGCCUAGCUCAGAGUCUGAAUCCUGCGAAGGUCCAUCCACACAGUGGGAUAGGGUUCAGCCAUGAAAAAGAGGGUGAAAUUCUGGCACCCGCUAAGACGUGGAGGAACCUUGAGAAGCUUGUGCCGAGUGCAGAAAGGCAGACAUAAAAGGUCCUACGUUGUGUAAAAUUUCAUUUAUGUGAAAUACCCAGAAUGGGUAAACCCACAGAAACAGAAUAGAGACUGGUGGCUGCCAGGGGCGGGGGAUGGGGUAGGGAAAAGUUUCUCACAGGCCACAGUUGCACAACAUUGCGAAGGCACUAAACGCCAAUGCUCACUUUAAAACGGUAAUUUUAGGGGCGCCUAGGUGGCUCAGUGGGUUAACUGUCCAACUCUUGAUCUCGGCUCAGGUCAUGAUCUCACGGUUCGUGGGUUCGAACUCCACGUCGGGCUGUGUGCUGACAGCUUCCGAGCUGGAACCUGCUUCAGAUUCUGUGUCUCCCUCUCUCUCUGCCCCUCCCCUGCUCGUGCUCUGUCUCAAAAAUAAAUAAACGGUAAAAAAAAAAAAAAUUCUUUUC
rnacentral:lncRNA from 1 species